CCUACGGGUGGCAGCAGUGGGGGAUAUUGCACAAUGGGGGAAACCCUGAUGCAGCAACGUCGCGUGAGUGAAGAAUGCCUUCUGAUUUUAAAGCUCUUUUUUUGAUGAAGAUAAUGACGGUACGCAAGGAUAAAGCUCCGGCUAACUACGUGCCAGCAGCCCCGGUAAUACGUCGGGAGCGAGCGUUGUCCGGAUUUACUGGGUGUAAAGGGAGGGUAGGCGGGUUUGGAAGUUAGGCGUGAAAGCUUGGGGCUCAACCGCUAAACUGCGAUUGAAACUGUCGGGCUUGAGUGAAGUAGAGGUAGGCGGAAUUCGUGGUGUAGCGGUGAAAUGCGUAGAGAGCAGGAAGAACACCAAUGGCGAAGGCAGCUUACUGGGCUUUAACUGACGCUGAGGCACGAAAGCAUGGGUAGCAAACAGGAUUAGAUACCCGGGUAGUC
rnacentral:rRNA from 1 species